rnacentral:rRNA from 1 species
AGGCAGCAGUAGGAAUCUUCCACAAUGGACGAAAGUCUGAUGGAGCAACGCCGCGUGAGUGAAGAAGGGUUUCGGCUCGUAAAGCUCUGUUGGUAGUGAAGAAAGAUAGAGGUAGUAACUGGCCUUUAUUUGACGGUAAUUACUUAGAAAGUCACGGCUAACUACGUGCC